rnacentral:tRNA from 1 species
GCACACUUAGCUUAGUGGUUAAAGCAUCACUCAUGAUGACCAAAUCUGACAUGGGUUCAAUUCCCAUAGUGCACA